GACUUCCUUCUUCAGCCGCUGGAUCGUCGACUUCAGCGGAAUCCCCAGGGGCAGGGGAAGUGCUUCGGUAGGGCACUGCCAUCGGAAGGCAAAAGCGUCAAGACACGCCUCAUCACAGAAAGAAAAGCAGAGAGAAGAAAGGAAGGAGGGAGAGGCCACCCACGACAAGAAAUUCAACUUUAUUGAUUGGAUGAUUCUUGAAGACAAAAAGGAAGAGAAAAAUUGCUGUAAAAUAAAAAUACAAGGUUGGAGGUCUCAAACAUCAGGGGCAGG
rnacentral:lncRNA from 1 species